GAUGAACGCUGGCGGCGUGCCUAAUACAUGCAAGUCGAGCGAACGGACGAGAAGCUUGCUUUUCUGAUGUUAGCGGCGGACGGGUGAGUAACACGUGGAUAACCUACCUAUAAGACUGGGAUAACUUCGGGAAACCGGAGCUAAUACCGGAUAAUAUUUUGAACCGCAUGGUUCAAAAGUGAAAGACGGUCUUGCUGUCACUUAUAGAUGGAUCCGCGCUGCAUUAGCUAGUUGGUAAGGUAACGGCUUACCAAGGCAACGAUGCAUAGCCGACCUGAGAGGGUGAUCUGCGCCACUGUAACUGGGACACGGUCCAGACUCCUACGGGAGGCAGCAGUAGGGAAUCUUCCGCAAUGGGCGAAAGCCUGACGGAGCAACGCCGCGUGAGUGAUGAAGGUCGUCGGAUCGUAAAACUCUGUUAUUAGGGAAGAACAUAUGUGUAAGUAACUGUGCACAUCUUGACGGUACCUAAUCAGAAAGCCACGGCUAACUUCGUG
rnacentral:rRNA from 1 species